rnacentral:lncRNA from 1 species
GCUGCUCAGCACCAGCUUGCCCGCCCAGCAUGCACGCCUCCCUACCUGCUAACCCCACCCCGCCCUUCCCCUUCCUCUCCCCUUCCUCUCUCGACCACCCAGGCCACCAAGGACGCCGGCACCAUUUCUGGCCUGAACGUGGUGCGCAUCAUCAACGAGCCCACUGCCGCUGCCAUCGCCUACGGCCUGGACAAGAAGGGCGGCGAGAAGAACAUCCUGGUGUUCGACCUGGGCGGUGGCACCUUCGAUGUGUCCAUCCUCACCAUCGACAACGGCGUGUUUGAGGUCAUCUCCACCAACGGCGACACUCACCUGGGCGGUGAGGACUUUGACCAGCGCGUCAUGGAGUACUUCAUCAAGCUGAUCAAGAAGAAGUACAAGAAGGACAUUAGCGGCGACGCCCGCGCCCUGCAGAAGCUGCGCCGCGAGGCCGAGCGUGCCAAGCGUGCCCUGUCCAGCCAGCACCAGGUGAGCGAGCGCGCGUGUGGGGGCGUGCGGCAAUGUACACCCAGGCUGUAUGUGGGUGUGUGGGCAUGGACACGGUAUGUAUGGGUGUGGGCAUGGUGCAUGUUCAGGAACGGGGUUGCAGGAUGCGUAAAUCGAUGAGCUUCGGCUGAACACCUGCUUUUCCAGUCCGUCCCCUGACCCCGCCGCGCAC